AAUAUUGGGCAAUGGGGGAAACCCUGACCCAGCGACGUCGCGUGAGGGAAGAAGGUCUUCGGAUUGUAAACCUUUGUCAACAGGGAAGAAGCAAUUGACGGUACCUGAAGAGGAAGCCACGGCUAACUACGUGCCAGCAGCCGCGGUAAUACGUAGGUGGCGUGCGUUAUCCGGAAUUACAGGGUGUAAAGGGCGUGUGGGCGGGGAUGCAAGUCAGAUGUGAAAUCAAUGGGCUCAACCUAUGGUGUGCAUUUGAAACUGUAUUUCUUGAGUGUGGGAGAGGUAAGCGGAAUUCCUAGUGUAGCGGUGAAAUGCGUAGAUAUUAGGAGGAACACCAGUGGCGAAGGCGGCUUACUGGACCACAACUGACGCUGAGACACGAAAGCGUGGGGAGCAAACAGG
rnacentral:rRNA from 1 species